UGCAAGUCGAGCGGAAACGAGAAUAGCUUGCUAUUCGGCGUCGAGCGGCGGACGGGUGAGUAAUGCUUGGGAAUAUGCCUUUGAGUGGGGGACAACAGUUGGAAACGACUGCUAAUACCGCAUAACGUCUACGGACCAAAGGGGGGGAUCUUCGGACCUCUCGCUCAUUGAUUAGCCCAAGUGAGAUUAGCUAGUUGGUAAGGUAAUGGCUUACCAAGGCGACGAUCUCUAGCUGGUUUGAGAGGAUGAUCAGCCACACUGGGACUGAGACACGGCCCAGACUCCUACGGGAGGCAGCAGUGGGGAAUAUUGCACAAUGGGCGAAAGCCUGAUGCAGCCAUGCCGCGUGUGUGAAGAAGGCCUUCGGGUUGUAAAGCACUUUCAGCGAGGAGGAAAGGGUGUUGUUUAAUACGCAACAUCUGUGACGUUACUCGCAGAAGAAGCACCGGCUAACUUCGUGCCAGCAGCCGCGGUAAUACGAGGGGUGCAAGCGUUAAUCGGAAUUACUGGGCGUAAAGCGUGCGUAGGUGGUUUGUUAAGCAAGAUGUGAAAGCCCCGGGCUCAACCUGGGAACUGCAUUUUGAACUGGCAAACUAGAGUAUUGUAGAGGGUAGUGGAAUUUCCAGUGUAGCGGUGAAAUGCGUAGAGAUUGGAAGGAACAUCAGUGGCGAAGGCGGCUACCUGGACAAAUACUGACACUGAGGCACGAAAGCGUGGGGAGCAAACAGGAUUAGAUACCCUGGUAGUCCACGCCGUAAACGAUGUCAACUAGCCGUCUGUGACCUUGAGUCGUGGGUGGCGCAGCUAACGCACUAAGUUGACCGCCUGGGGAGUACGGCCGCAAGGUUAAAACUCAAAUGAAUUGACGGGGGCCCGCACAAGCGGUGGAGCAUGUGGUUUAAUUCGAUGCAACGCGAAGAACCUUACCAUCCCUUGACAUCCA
rnacentral:rRNA from 1 species